GAGCUCAACUCAGCAGUACAUAUACUGAAAAUAAAAGGAUACAGACAUUAGCAUGGCCCCUGUGCAAUGAUGCUUUGCAAAUUCAUGAAAUGUUUUGUUAUUUA
ensembl:snRNA U6 U6 spliceosomal RNA